AGGAGUAUUAGCGUUUGUGCAGAUCGCAAAAUGGCGGCCUAGACGCCGCCGUAUGGCAAUAAACAUAAAUAUCCAUUUCAGAUGAUCCCACGUUUUGUCGUUUCGAGAGUUAAAUAAUGAACACUAUAUAGCAAAGGAUUUGCGACAAAAUAUCAUGCCUUCAGUGUGUUUUGUAUUAUACAUACAGCGUCACUGACUUAAGUCCGCUACAACAGAUCCCACCACAAAGCUUUUCUGUGGCAAAAUGGCGGCCUAGACGCCGCCGUAUGGCAUCCAAAUAAUAUAUAUACAGGAUCCACGGGCUUUAAUGUUUUGUCGCAAAUCCUUUGCUUGCCAUUACUGCAUCAAAAGCAAACCGCCAAAGCAACCAUGCCAACGUAAUACAAUAAACAUAAUUAUCCAUUGCAUAAGGACUUACCUUGACAACGAACUUCUUUGGUUGAACCGCAAAGUUGAAAGACAGAACGUACUCGAAAGAAUCCGCUCACAAUAUUAAUCCGUGGAAAGGAGAGCAAAAGGGUCUAUCUGAACAAAGAUGUCUCAAGCAGAGAAAAUCCGAUCAGAGUGAGACGACGAGCCGUGCGUCGCUGACGAUAGUCAUUGCAACUCGCGAAGCACCAUGGGAGUAUGACACGCCCACACCUCUACAGAUGUUGUAGAUGAGUUUCUCUUUAUAUUAUGCUUAUGUGUUUUAAUUUGGUUGGAGAUUUCAAGUCUUAUGAUUGUACCCAUUAGACUAUAUUUACCAACUCAUUUAUUAACCUAGCUUACAAAAUGUGCAUCCCAAUCCAAAUGACGAUUACAAAUGGAAUAUUAACAUGACUCUCAUUCCUAUCUAGAACUUGAUGACCUCCGCUGCACGAACGCCUCCCAAGAACUGGACAACCUGGACAGCACGACCGUAUUAUUACAACCUGGACAGCACGACCAUCUACUACCAAGCCCCUGAAAACGGAAACAGAGGACAAUGUAAAUGGAGUGUAAAUAGAGUGAUGUGUUAAGAGUGAUGUGUUAAGCGUGAAUAAAAAAUGAAAAACAUUUCA